CAAGCGGUGGAGCAUGUGGUUUAAUUCGACGCAACGCGAAGAACCUUACCUGGGCUCGAAAUGUAGUGGAAUCCGGCAGAAACGUCGGCGUCUAGCAAUAGACCGCUAUAUAGGUGCUACAUGGCUGUCGUCAGCUCGUGUCGUGAGAUGUUGGGUUAAGUCCCGCAACGAGCGCAACCCUUAUCUUCAGUUGCUACCAUUUAGUUGAGCACUCUGACGAAACCGCCUCGGAUAACGGGGAGGAAGGUGGGGAUGACGUCAAGUCCUCAUGGCCUUUAUGUCCAGGGCUACACACGUGCUACAAUGGCCGGUACAAACCGCUGCAACCCCGCGAGGGUGAGCUAAUCGGAAAAAGCCGGCCUCAGUUCGGAUUGGAGUCUGCAACUCGACUCCAUGAAGCUGGAAUCGCUAGUAAUCGUGGAUCAGCAUGCCACGGUGAAUACGUUCCCGGGGCCUUGUACACACC
rnacentral:rRNA from 1 species